CCUAGUAACGGCGAGUGAAGCGGCAACAGCUCAAAUUUGAAAGCUAGCCUUCGGGUUCGCAUUGUAAUUUGUAGAGGAUGAUUUGGGGAAGCCGCCUGUCUAAGUUCCUUGGAACAGGACGUCAUAGAGGGUGAGAAUCCCGUAUGUGACAGGAAAUGGCACCCUAUGUAAAUCUCCUUCGACGAGUCGAGUUGUUUGGGAAUGCAGCUCUAAAUGGGAGGUAAAUUUCUUCUAAAGCUAAAUAUUGGCGAGAGACCGAUAGCGCACAAGUAGAGUGAUCGAAAGAUGAAAAGCACUUUGGAAAGAGAGUUAAAAAGCACGUGAAAUUGUUGAAAGGGAAGCGCUUGCAAUCAGACUUGUUUAAACUGUUCGGCCGGUCUUCUGACCGGUUUACUCAGUUUGGACAGGCCAGCAUCAGUUUCGGCGGCCGGAUAAAGGCUCUGGGAAUGUGGCCUCCACUUCGGUGGAGGUGUUAUAGCCCAGGGUGUAAUACGGCCAGCCGGGACUGAGGUCCGCGCUUCGGCUAGGAUGCUGGCGU
rnacentral:rRNA from 1 species